rnacentral:SRP_RNA from 3 species
UGUGGCCCUGUCGACUCGGAAACGUGAACCCCGCCAGGCCCGAGAGGGAGCAACGGUAGCGCGGAAGAGUGUGACAGGGCCUUUCCU